rnacentral:rRNA from 1 species
AGCGAACAUUGGCGGUAGGCUUAACACAUGCAAGUCGAGCGAGGCGUAAUAGUCGAGCGGCGAACGGGUGAGUAAUACAUGGGAAUCUACCCUGAAGUGGGGGAUAACGUUCAGAAAUGGACGCUAAUACCGCAUAAUCCACAUUGGGAAAGCGUUGCAGCGCUUUAGGAUGAGCCCAUGGCUGAUUAGCUAGUUGGUGAGGUAAUGGCUCACCAAGGCGACGAUCAGUAGCUGGUCUGAGAGGAUGAUCAGCCACACUGGAACUGAGACACGGUCCAGACUCCUACGGGAGGCAGCAGUGGGGAAUUUUGCGCAAUGGGGGCAACCCUGACGCAGCCAUACCGCGUGAGUGAUGAAGGUCUUCGGAUUGUAAAGCUCUUUCGGCGGGGACGACGAUGACGGUACCCGCAAAAGAAGUCACGGCUAACUUCGUGCCAGCCGCCGCGGUAA